UACCAGCUCUCCGAGUGGUGUGGAUGUUUAUUGGGCCUAAAGCAUCCGUAGCUGGCCAAGUUAGUCCCCUGUUAAACCCACCGAAUUAAUCGUUGGUUUGCGGGGGAUACUGCUCGGCUAGGGGACGAGAGAGGCAGACGGUAUUUUCGGGGUAGGGGUGAAAUCCUAUAAUCCCGGGAAGACCACCAGUGGCGAAGGCUGUCUGCUAGAACGCGCCCGACGGUGAGGGAUGAAAGCUGGGGGAGCGAACCGG
rnacentral:rRNA from 1 species